GGUCCCAUGGUGUAAUGGUCAGCACACAGGACUUUGAAUCCUGGAAUCUGAGUUUAAACCUCAGUAGGAUCU
rnacentral:tRNA from 1 species